AGCAAUAACAGUAUUGGUUUAGAUAUGCUCUUUCCUUUCAUUAAACAAAUUCUUGUUUCUAUUUAGCCAAAUAUUCCAGAAGAAGAAUGGUAAAAGGAAGUGUCAUUGGAUGCAAUAGUUGAAUUGUUUGUCUAGCAUGGUUCCAAGAGCUAAGCAUGAAGUGUAGGGGCAUUUAUUGGUUAGUAUCACAUUAGCAUAGGUUGUUCCAAAAUAAUUUGGCAUUGACACAUAGCAAACCAAAUGUGGUUUAUGGAUUCUUCUAAGCUGUUACACACUGAACAUGAAGGGCUCACUUGGAGGCCAGUAUUGUAAAGAUACUUAUUGGUGGGCAACCUGUUGUGGGCUAGUAGCCAAGUAAAAAAUCUAAUCUUACUAGGGGCUUCUAGUUUUCACAUCCAACUGAAAGUGGUCUCCUAGUCAGAGUGUGUGUUCCAUUAGGGUUUAUGAGAGAGUAAAUUGACUUAAAGGAG
rnacentral:lncRNA from 1 species